rnacentral:rRNA from 1 species
UACGUAGGUGUCGAGCGUUGUCCGGAUUUAUUGGGCGUAAAGAGCCCGCAGGCGGCUUGGUAAGUUCGAGGUGAAAUCUCCCGGCUCAACUGGGAGGGUGCCUCGAAAACUAUCAGGCUUGAGGCAGGGAGAGGGAUGUGGAAUUCCCGGUGUAGUGGUGAAAUGCGUAGAUAUCGGGAGGAACACCAGUGGCGAAGGCGGCAUCCUGGCCCUGUCCUGACGCUCAGGGGCGAAAGCGUGGGGAGCAAACCGG